AAGACAGGAUCCAAGACUGGGGGUGAGAUUUCCAAACCCCAUUACCAAUUAGUAAGGAGAUGGAGAGAAAGCAAUACUAAUUAUUUAUGAUGUUGAUUAUGGAACUUAAACUCAAUACUGUCAUGGCACAGAAGGUAGUUCCUUGUAAUAACUCUGUUGGUAACAGUAUUUGUAAUUAAAGACUAAAAAUUUAGCCCACUUGGCAAGUUUAAAGCAGAUUUUAUGUGAUCAAGAAGAGACUCACUUUGUUGUUGUUUUACUAUGUCAUAGCUACUUCUUCUUUUCUCUAAUUUAUUUGCUUUUCCUUUUCUUAUUGUUUGAAAUUUCCUGUGGUAAGGAGGAAAGUGGAAUGUACUCAGAAAACAAGCUAUGAGAAAUCUGAUCUUUCUUCAUCCUGGCCAAGGGCUGGUCUGCUGAACUGCAGGUGUAUUGUUGUCUAUGAAGCGGAAAUAUCAGGAUCUUUUAAAAUUAAUGAUCAUAUUGAAUGAUCCCUUUGUGGCCAUGGCACUCUGGGUUGUAUGUGGCACAUGGAAGGUGUUCAGGGUCUUAUGGGCAUUUACUGCCAGCUUCGUCAUCUUAUAUAAAGUAAUUCAGUGGAAUUUUCUUAGGAUGAUCUCGAUGUAAAGCUUAUCUAACAUGAACUCACCAAGAGCCAUGCUACUCUAAAAUAAUUUCUGACUGGCUUGAUAAAUUGUAUAGAUCUGUAACACUGUAUGGCCAAUUUUUAAUUUCUAAAAGUAGCAGAAAGAUAGAAAGGAAUAUUCCCCUAAUAUUUGGAAAUUAAACAGCACACUUCUACAUAACCCAUGGGUCAAAGAAGUAUGGCAUGAAAAAAUUUAGAAUGUUUAGAACUAACUGAAAGUGAAAAUACAACUUAUUAAAAUUUUUGAGAUUCAUCAAAAAUAGUAUUUAGGGGGACUUUUAUAGCAUUAAAUGCAUAUAUUAGAAAAACAGAAAGUUCUAAAAUCAGUAAUCCCAGUGUCCACUUUAGGAAACUAGAAAAAGAAGAACAGUUUAAGCCUGAAGCAAGCAGAGGAAAAUAAAUAAUAGAAAUUAGAGCAGAAAUCAAUAAAAUUGGAAACAGAAAAACAAUAGAGAAAAUCACCAAAGCCAAAAGUUGGUGAAAAUCAGUCAAUAAAAGCAAUAAAGAUCUAAUCUGACUAAGCAGGACAAAAAGAAAGAUGCAAUUUUCUAAUAAAAGAGAGAUCAUCACUACUGAUAAAAGGAUAACAAAGGAAUACUAUCGACACCUCUGUGCCCACUAAUUUGAUCACUUAGAUGAAAUGAAAAAAUUAUUGAAAGACACAAACAACCAGAUAUCAGAGGAAACAGUCUAAAUUACCUUAUGUCAUUAAAAAACCGAAUCAAUAAUAGCCUUCUAGAAAGAAAGGAGAAAAAGAGUCAAACUCAGAUAGUUUGGUGAAUUACACCAAACAUUUAAGGAAAAAUAAUACUUAUUCUCCACAAUCUGUUUCAGAAAAGAGAAAUAGAGGAAACACUUCUAAACUUGUUCUAUGAAGCCAACAGUACCCGAACACCAAAACUAGAGAAAGACACUACAGGAAAAGAGAACUACAGAGCAAUAACUCUCAUGAACAUAGAUGCAAAAUUAAUCCAAAAAUGAAUGAUACACCACAACUAAGUGAGAUUUAUUCCAAGUGUACAAGUGUGGUUCAACAUUGAAAAUUAAUUGAUAUAAUCUACCACAUUAAUAGGCUAAAGAAUAAAAAUCAUAUAUCGGUUGCUACAAAAAAAGCUUUUGACAAAAUCCAACAUGCAUUCAUGAUAAAAAUUCAGCAAAAAUUCAGUAAUAGGGAGUUCCUGUUGUGGCGCAGUGGUUAAUGAAUCCGACUAGGCACCAUGAGGUUGCGGGUUUGUCCCUGCCCUUGCUCAGUGGGUUAACGAUCCGGCGUUGCCGUGAGCUGUGGUGUAGGUUGCAGACGCGGCUUGGAUCCCGCGUUGCUGUGGCUCUGGCGUAGGCCUGUGGCUACAGCUCCGAUUCAACCCCUAGCCUGGGAACCUCCAUAUGCCGUGGGAGCGGCCCAAAGAAAUAGCAAAAAGACAAAAAAAAAAAAAAUUCAGUAAUAGAGUGAUUUCCUCAAUUUGGUGAAGAAUAUGCAUAAAAAACCUACGGCCUGACACCUGUGCAUGAUAAAAAUAACUCUUUGUAAACUAGGAAAAGAGGGGAACUUCCUCAACUUGAUGAGAGUGUCUACAAGAAGUCUACAGCUAACAUCAUACUUAAUGUUGAGAAACUUGAAGCUUUCCCACUAAGAUCAGAUUCAAGGCAAGGAUGUCCCUUCUCACUACUUCUUCUUCUUCUUUUUUUUUUUUUUUUUUUGUCGUUUUGGGGCCACACCCUCAGCAUAUGGAAGUUCCCAGGCUAGGGGUAGAAUGGAGCUGCAGCUGCCAGACUACACCACAGCCACAGCAAUGCCAGAUCUGAGCUGCAUCUGUGACCUACACCAUAGCUCAUGGCAAUGUCAGACAUUAACCCACUGAGUGAGGCCAGGGAUCAAACCCGCAUCCUCGUGGACACUAGUUGUGUUUAUUACCACAGAGCCAGCACAGGAACUCCUCAUCAUUCCUUUUUGACAAUAAUGUCUGGAAGUUCUAGCCAGUGCAGUAAGACAAAAGGAAAUAAAAGAUAUAUAGGUUGGGAAGGAAGACAUAACUGUCUCCAUUCAAAGGGAACUUGAACAUUUAUGUAGAAAAUCCAAAAGAAUUGACAAAAUUAUUGGAAUUGAUAAGUUAUUAUAGAAGGUUGCAGGAUACAUAUUUAAUACACAAAAGUCAAUUGCCUUAUUAUAUAUCAGAAAUGAACAAAUGGAAUUUGAAAUAAAAAAUACAACAUCAUUUACAUUCCCUCCCACAAAGGAAAUACUUAGGCAUAAAUUUAAAAAAAUCUGUAUAAGAUGUGCAUGAGAAACCCACGAAACUAUAAUGAACAAAAUCAAAGAAGUGCUAAAUAAAUGGAGAUAUACUCCAUAUUCAUGUACAGGAAGGCUCAGUACUGUCAAGAUGUCAGUUCUUCCCAACUUGAUUUAUAAAUUCAGUGCAAUUCCAAUCAAAAUCUCAGCAAGUUAUUUUGUGGAUAUUGACAGAUUCUAAGGUUUAUAUGGAGAGAGACAGAAGAUCCAGAAUAGCCAAACAAUGUUGAAAAAGAAGAGCAAAUUUAGAUGACUAACAUUACCUGGCUUCAAGACAAUAUGGUGCUGGUGAAAAACAUAGACAAAUAGAUCAAUGGAACCAAAUAGAGGGUCCACAUAAAUACAGCCAACCGAUUUUUGACAAACGUGCAAAGGCAAUACAAUGGACCAAAGAUGGUCGUCUUUUCCAUAAAAUCUGUUAGAACAACUGCAUAUCCUCAUUCAGAAAAACAAUCUAGACCUUAUACCUUUCACAAAAAUUGAUUAAAAAUAGGUCACAGACUUAAAUGUAAAAUGCCAAACUUAAAACUUGUGGAAGAUAACAUAGGAGAAAAACUAGGUGACCUUGAGUAUUGUGAUGAUCUUUUAGAUAUAACACCAAAAGCACAGCCCUGAAAGAAAUAAUUGCUAAGCUAGACUUCAUUAAAAUUAGUAAACUAAAUGACAAUGUCAAGAGAAUGAGAAGAUAAACCAUGGCCGGGGAGAGAUUAUGUGUAAAAGACAUGUCUGAUAAAGGCCUGUUAUCCAGGAGUUCCCAUUGUGGUGCAGUAGUUAACGAAUCCAACUAAGAACCAUGAGGUUGCGGGUUCGAACCCUGGCCUUGCUCAGUGGGUUAGGGAUCCGGUGUUGCCGUAAGCUGUGGUGUAGGUUGCAGACACGGCUCGGAUCCCGCGUUGCUGUGGCUCUGGCGUAGGCUGGUGGCUAUAGCUCCGAUUUGACCCCUAGCCUGGGAACCUCCAUAUACCGUGGGAGUGGCCCAAGAAAUGGC
rnacentral:lncRNA from 1 species